rnacentral:tRNA from 1 species
GCGCCCGUAGCUCAAUUGGAUAGAGCGUCUGACUACGGAUCAGGAGGUUGGGUGUUCGAGUCGCCCCGGGCGCG